UACGUAGGGUGCAAGCGUUAAUCGGAAUUACUGGGCGUAAAGCGUGCGCAGGCGGUUUUGUAAGUCUGACGUGAAAUCCCCGGGCUCAACCUGGGAAUUGCGUUGGAGACUGCAAGGCUGGAGUCUGGCAGAGGGGGGUAGAAUUCCACGUGUAGCAGUGAAAUGCGUAGAGAUGUGGAGGAACACCCAUGGCGAAGGCAGCCCCCUGGGUCAAGACUGACGCUCAUGCACGAAAGCGUGGGGAGCAAACAGG
rnacentral:rRNA from 1 species